rnacentral:tRNA from 3 species
CAUCAAAUGACUGAAAGUAAGUAUUGGUCUCUUAAACCAAAAAUAAUAAUUAACGAAAAUUUUUGAUGA